rnacentral:lncRNA from 1 species
CGCAAUAGUAAAGUAUGCCAAGUGGCUGAAGAAUAAGAUGUACGAUAUAAGCCACAAUGAUUUUAAUAACAUACGCAAUCUUACCAUAAUAACAUUUACUAUACAAGGGGACACACACAAUACAUAGAGAUGGACAAAAUAUUUGACAAGGAUUUUUGUCUUACAAUACUCAGCAACAUAACACCAAUACAACACCGAUCAGAACAACAGAAAAAUUACGAAUCUUUUUUUCCACGCAUUGAAUUGACUUGAGAAAACAUAGAAAGUCACAAUGUCUAUUCUUUUUUUGCAGGAUAAACAAUGGAAAAACAAAUAUCGAAAACUACCAACAGAAUCAAACGACUCUGCCACACAUUGAAAGACCCUCAUUUUGGUAACUAGUAAUCGAAUGAUAGGGUCUUCUGCACUUUGAAGGCAGUGGAGGAUCUCAAAUUUUGAAUUUGAGUGUCCUCUUCCUCGACAGGAUCUACACUCCAAUUCAAUUGAUUGACACCAAAAGUCAGUACAUUGAUACUCUCUUCUGUCUCUUUUGAUAUGUUCGAUUCUUGGUAAACCCCAAGAUAAGUCUUAAUAUAUUGCGCUAACGUCUCUUUCACAUCUUCUUUGUACACUAAGCAAAUCCCACAUCCUCUUGGCUUAACCUACGCCUCUUCCAUUGUCCUAAUUGUAAGACAUCCAUCUAUUUUAGCCCAAUCAUCUAACCGAAAUUUCAGAAAUUGAAGCUGGAAAAGAUGGAAUGAUACGUAGCUUAUCCACACAAGAGCAGAUUUAUAGUUCUCUUCUAUCUUGAUGAUCCCUUUCCCCUUUGCCAGGUAACGUGGCAUGGAUUCGUGUUAAACACCUCCAACAUUCAUAGAAAUACUUUCUUUUUCUUACUAGAUUUCCUAUUGAUGCAAUAACCUAAGCGUUAUUUUAUUAGUUUUUUCCUACUAAUUAGGCAUCAAAACCAUAAAAAGUAAUUAGGAUCUAUCUCAUUCCAUGUUAACAAAGAAGGUUGAAACAUGCCCUCUAAGCACCAGAGAAAGCUAUCCUACCACCACCUAAACAGUUUAAACUUAGUUAUGUAUUAAAAAUCCCGUCCGCAUUUACUCUAAGUAUGAACCAUGGAAUCAGCAUUGAUUUAGUACAGAUAAUUACUAAAUCCAUGUAGUAAGAGUAAUUGCUCUUGCACGUACUGGAAAGGGCAGAAUUUAGAGACCAAAGAGUUUAGUAACUCAUCAGCGGCAUAUUUGAACAGUUUGAAGCAAUUGAAAAAUGAGAUCUUCUACAAGAACGUAUGCUUUCCUGAGAUAUCAGCCAAGCUCUGUAAUGAAUGGCAAUCAUCUGCACCUAGAACAGCUAUACUUUUUGGUAAAUCUGGCAGUGAUUCAAGACUUGAGCAACUUUCUAGUGUCAGGAUUUUUAGCCGAGGAAGUUCAGAAAUCUUUUCAGGAAAUUUACGAAGUUAUUUCUGCUCAGAUCUAACACUUCCAGACACAAUAAGCUGCCAAGAUCAGCUGAAAUUUCCUCAAGUAGAUCGCAAGAACUGAAAAACUGGCUGAAGUGACUACUUAAGUAUUAUCUGUUGAAUGAUUAUAAAUUUGUGCACAAUAUUUAGCGCCGACUAGAUUUCGAAAUCUGUGGAUUAUUUCACAUACCUAUUGAAGAAAAUGUAACUUAGAUUUAUGAGAAUAAUUAGAUGGACAAAAAAAUUAUUUGUGCUCGUACGCAAUUAUUGGAUCUUGGGUGGAGCUAAAAUAUAUAAGGUAGAUAAGAGAAAAAUGUAACUUAAGUUGGUGAGAGUCCCUUGUUAUUGCUUUUAUUUAAAAAAUAAAGAUUAAUAAUUAGAUUGGACAAAGGAUUGACUAGAUAUUAUCUAAAUUAUUGGAGCUUGUAAGAUAUAUGUUCGAACAGGUCCUUUGGUAGCUCUAUAAAGUUUUGGACUCAAUUACAAUUGCUGUGAUAGUUUUGGAUUUAUACGUAAUUGUAUUCAAAGUUUAGGAACUACACUUGAAAUUGCAUCAAUGAUGGUCUAAUUAGACUUGGACUUAGAAGGAAACACCAUUUUUUUCUAUAUAAGUAAUCAAAGGGGCGCCUUGGAAACUAUACUUAACACUAGGUGCAUUUUCUUUCUUAAAAAGGGAAAAAAUGCUUUCAUGCUUUCUUGAUCUAUCAAGUGUAGAAUUAGAUAUUUAAUUUAAUUGAAAGGAUGUUCAUACAUCGAUAUAGUCUAUAUUCUUGAGAAUACCAUAAAAAAAGGCUGAAAGCUUCAAGUUUCAGGGUUUUACACCCUUUGAUGUAGUACAAUAAUUGUAUUUUCCCCAACUCAUGAGUUCGUAUCUUUGGCGCCAAAUUUUUUGACUACUAUUCAAUAAAUUUUUAAAACAUCACUACAAUUUUGAGCCAUCACAAAUUUAGUUAUGGCACCUGAUGAGUGUGUUUCACUCACUUUUAUACCUUUUUAACUUGAUUAUUGGCUAGAUUCUAUAAGUAUUGAACAUUUUUAAUGUGUUUGUUAGAGUUGUUUUACGGGUUUGAUGAGGUGGCUUCAGAGACAGGAAAAAACAGCAUAGUACCACACCUAGGCACCCAGGUGCUACACCCAAAAAAAAAAAAAAAAAAGGGGAGAAAACCAUUGAUAGAAAGGGUGUCGCCCCUUGGGUGCUGAGGUGCUACCUAUAAAUCCUUCGCGGCGUCAGCACUUAAAAAUUUUAAAAAAUUAUAAAAAAUUUAAUGGAUUUCAAUAUCUUUAAAAUUGUGACACUUCAAAAUUGUAUUAAGGUGUCAAAAUUUUGUGGAAGACCAUAGAUGUAGGCUCUUGCCAACCCUCCUUUCAACAAGGAGAAAAGAAGGGCAAAAAUUAACUCCUAUUAGCAGAUCCGCAAUCCAAAAUAGAAAACUUGUGCAUGAUGUAGCAGAAGGCGAAGGAAUACAAAUUGUAGGGACCAUAAGUCCUCCAUAUGUAACUUUGAUAGGAAAUUUACCCAUACAGCAUGAGAAUUUGAUAAUAGCCUAAAUCAAUGGUAUCAAUAUAUGUUCAUCGCAAUUGUAAAGUGUGUCAAACAGCUUCAGAAUAAAGCCAUAGAAGUCACAAUGAUUUCAAUAACAUACACAACCCUCACCAUAAUACCAUUUAUUGUACAAGGGUACACACACAAUACAUAGAAAGACCGUCUAAAAUAAGCAAUACUAAGGAAUAGAACACCCAAUACAUCAUCAAUCUGAGCAAUAGAAAAAUUACGAAUUUUUUUUUCCAAGCAUUCAAUUUAAUUGAGCAAACCACGAUAUUUACUCUCUCUCUCUCUCUCUCUCUCUCUCUCUCUCUCUCUCUCUCUCUCUCUCUCUCUCUCUCUCUCUNNNNNNNNNNNNNNNNNNNNNNNNNNNNNNNNNNNNNNNNNNNNNGUUUUGCACAAAAAAAAAAAGGGAAAAAAAACAUAGAAAAUUCCCAACAGAGUCAAACAACUCUGGAAAACAUUGAAAGACCCUCAUUCUGGUAACUAAUAAUCGAAUGAUAGGGUCUUCUAUACUUUGAAAGCAGUGGAGGAUCUCAAACUUUGAAUUUGAGUGCCCUCUUCCUCGACAAGAUCUACACUCCAGUUCAAUUGAUUGACACCAAAAGUCAGUACAUUGAUACUCUCUUCUGCAUCUUUUGAUAUGUUCAAUUCUUGGUCAACCCUAGGAUAAGUCUCCAUAUGUUGCGCCAAUGUCUUUUUCACAUCUUCUUUGUACACUAAGCGAAUCCCACAUCCUCUUGGCUGAAUCCAUGCCUCUUCCGUUGUCCUAAUUGUAAGACAUCCAUCUAUUUUAGCCCAAUCAUCUGAAUGAAAUUUCGGAAAUAGAAGCUGGAAAAGAUGGAAUGAUACAUUGCCUAUCCGCACAUGAGCAGAUUCAUAGUUCUCUUCCAGCUUAGUGGCAGUUAGAGUGAUAUUAGCAGUGAACUCCACAUGAUCCUGGCUUAUCAAUUUUAACGUGACCCCAACUUUUGAUUUUGACACCAGACGCUCAAAGACAAAGGAGACUGCAACCCCAGUGACAUUCUUAUGCCAAUCUGGAGUUAAGGGGAUGGUUACUGAAUGACUCAUGCUUUGAUGGCUGAACCAUUCUGGAAGCUCCCUUCCAGGAAUGAUUAAACUAAAUCGAUUAUCAACAACAGGUUAUCCCUGUAACAGGAAAUCAUGUGAAUAAACUUCCAGAGUUUUAUAACUACAUUUAUAUAACUCGUGUUAUGUUAUUGAUAUAAAGAUGCUUAAAUAAUUCGUUCAGUGCUUAAUGAAGCCGUUACCUCAUACAAAAGACUGCUUAUAUGUUCUAUGUAUUAUUGUAAGCCUUAAAUAGCAUCUCUAUAACGUUGCAGGUUCACUUUUUUCCAGUUUUUUCUACAGAUUUCUGAUUUUAUUGAAGUGUUACUUUACUAAUUUCUUCUCUACUAAUUAGGCAUCACAAGCAUAAAAUUAAUUAGGAUCUUUCUCAUUUCAUCUUAACAAAGAAGGUGGAAACAUGCCUCCAAAGCAUUAGAGAUAGCUAUCCACCCACCACCUAACCAAUUUAAACUUAGUAAUGUGUUAAAAUCCUGCAUUUAUUCACUCUAUGUAUGAACCAUGGAGUCAGCAUUAUUUAGCAGAGAUAAUUACUGAAUAAAUCUUAGUAGUAAGAGGAACUGUACUUACACGUGUACUGAAAGGAGAGAAUUUGGAGACCAACUUGUAAAGACGAGGUUCCAAUAGAUAUUAGAGAUUACAACAAUAAAAUGUGCAGUAAUGUAAAAUCAAAUGACAAGAAACGUAGAUAUCAUUAAAAAAUUCCCUAAGGCAGUAACAGAUCGAAGAAUCGCCCAAAAAUAUAAGUGCUUCUGUGUCCGGAACAACCCACUGCCAGUUGAUCUUUAACCAAGGCUUAGAAAUCAGGGUGUUUUUGCACUCAGACUAGAAUCAUCCAAGAUCACAGAAGAUUCGAUAUUCUCACUUCGCACAAAAAAUAAAUAAAUAAAAAAAAAAUGUUCACACAAGAACACACACCACUUCUAAGUAAAAGAAUCACUCAAGAUUAUUAAAAACCGAUUUGAGAAAGUGAUGAAAUUCAAAUGAGAUCUUUGAUUUUCAGAGAGAAGGAGAAGAAUAACUCAAAUGGCUAGAGUAGAGAGAAGUCCCUAUAAAACUAGGAAAAUCAC